rnacentral:rRNA from 1 species
UACGAGGGGGGCUAGCGUUGCUCGGAAUCACUGGGCGUAAAGGGUGCGUAGGCGGGUCUUUUAAGUCAGGGGUGAAAUCCUGGAGCUCAACUCCAGAACUGCCUUUGAUACUGAAGAUCUUGAGUUCGGGAGAGGUGAGUGGAACUGGCGAGUGUAGAGGUGAAAUUCGUAGAUAUUCGCAAGAACACCAGUGGCGAAGGCGGCUCACUGGCCCGAUACUGACGCUGAGGCACGAAAGCGUGGGGAGCGAACAG